rnacentral:misc_RNA from 1 species
AACUUUCGGCAACGGACCUCUUGGCUCUCGCAUCGAUGAAGAACGCAGCGAAAUGCGAUACGUAAUGUGAAUUGCAGAAUUCCGUGCAUCAUUGAAUCUUUGAACGCACCUUGCGCCUCUUGGUAUUCCGAGGGGAAUGCCUGUUUGAGUGUCAUUGAAUCCUAAAAAGAAAAGCUUAACUGCUUUCUCUUUUGGAAUUGGAGUGUGCUGGCCUUUCUUUUGGGAAGCCCAGCUCCUCUGAAAUACAUUAGCGAUGUGACAUCCGCAUGGCACCAUGCUUAUCUGGCAUUGAUAGUAUCUUCAUGCCUGAGCGUGUUGUGCAGCUGUGGAAAGCUUUGCUCGCUCAUAGCUUGAUGGGUCAGGCCCAUCCUUUGACCAAUUUAACCUCAAAUCAGGUAGGAUUACCCGCUGAACUUAAGCAUAUCAAUAAGCGGAGGAU